GGUUCCGUAGAUCAGCGGUUAGAUCGCCCCCAUCACACGGGGGAGGCCGCGGGUUCGAGACCCGCCGGGACCU